rnacentral:rRNA from 1 species
CUGACACAGGGAGGUAGUGACAAAAAAUACCAAUACAGGGCAUUACAUGUCUUGUAAUUGGAAUGAGAACAAUUUAAAUCCCUUAUCGAGGAUCCAUUGGAGGGCAAGUCUGGUGCCAGCAGCCGCGGUAAUUCCAGCUCCAAUAGCGUAUAUUAAAGUUGUUGCAGUUAAAAAGCUCGUAGUCGGAUUUUGGCAUCACGCCGCACUGUCUGCCGAUUGGUAAGUACGGUUUGGCGGGUGCUUCCUUCCGGUGCUGCGUUCUGCUCUUAGUUGAGCGGUUCGUUGGUUCCGGUUCUUUUACUUUGAGAAAAUUAGAGUGUUCAAAGCAGGCCUAUGCUCUGAAUAGGUUAGCAUGGAAUAAUAGAAUAGGACUUUGGUUCUAUUUUGUUGGUUUCUAGGACCGAAGUAAUGAUAAAUAGGGACAGUUGGGGGCAUUCAUAUUCCAUUGUCAGAGGUGAAAUUCUUGGAUUAACGGAAGAUGAACUUCUGCGAAAGCAUCUGCC